UAGAGUUUGAUCGUGGCUCAGGAUGAACGCUGGCGGCGUGCUUAACACAUGCAAGUCGAACGGAAAGGCCACAGCUUGCUGUGGUACUCGAGUGGCGAACGGGUGAGUAACACGUGGGUGAUCUGCCCUGUACUUCGGGAUAAGCUUGGGAAACUGGGUCUAAUACCGGAUAGGAAUCACAUGUGGGUGUGUGGUUGGAAAGCUUUUGCGGUAUGGGAUGAGCUCGCGGCCUAUCAGCUUGUUGGUGGGGUAAUGGCCUACCAAGGCGUCGACGGGUAGCCGGCCUGAGAGGGUGUACGGCCACAUUGGGACUGAGAUACGGCCCAGACUCCUACGGGAGGCAGCAGUGGGGAAUAUUGCACAAUGGGCGCAAGCCUGAUGCAGCGACGCCGCGUGGGGGAUGACGGCCUUCGGGUUGUAAACUCCUUUCGUCAGGGACGAAGCGAAAGUGACGGUACCUGGAUAAGAAGCACCGGCUAACUACGUGCCAGCAGCCGCGGUAAUACGUAGGGUGCGAGCGUUGUCCGGAAUUACUGGGCGUAAAGAGCUCGUAGGUGGUUUGUCGCGUCGUUUGUGUAAGUCCACGGCUUAACUGUGGGAUGGCAGGCGAUACGGGCAUAACUUGAGUGCUGUAGGGGAGACUGGAAUUCCUGGUGUAGCGGUGAAAUGCGCAGAUAUCAGGAGGAACACCGAUGGCGAAGGCAGGUCUCUGGGCAGUAACUGACGCUGAGGAGCGAAAGCAUGGGUAGCGAACAGGAUUAGAUACCCUGGUAGUCCAUGCCGUAAACGGUGGGCGCUAGGUGUGAGUCCCUUCCACGGGGUUCGUGCCGUAGCUAACGCAUUAAGCGCCCCGCCUGGGGAGUACGGCCGCAAGGCUAAAACUCAAAGGAAUUGACGGGGGCCCGCACAAGCGGCGGAGCAUGUGGAUUAAUUCGAUGCAACGCGAAGAACCUUACCUGGGCUUGACAUACACCAGAUCGGCGCAGAGAUGCGUUUUCCCUUGUGGUUGGUGUACAGGUGGUGCAUG
rnacentral:rRNA from 1 species